rnacentral:lncRNA from 1 species
GACAUUUAUAGCUUUUUAUUAUUACAUAUCAACAUAAAUAGCACGAAUUUAUCACAGAAUUCCAAGUGUAGAAACACUUGUACAUUGGCAAUGCUUGAAAUAAAGGAGCACAUAGUCAAAAAUCACAAUUAGGCACUUAGAAAAUGCUAAAGGACGGAACAGUAUAAAAAUUAUACGAUGUUUUAAAAAAUUAUAAAUUAGACAUUUUGUUCAAUAUGAAAUGUUUGAAAAGUAUCAACUAAACAGAGAAAAAGGCAAUCACCACUUUGUACAGAAAUCAAUAAUCAGCAGUUAAUUCAUGUAUAAAUAUAAAUC